rnacentral:rRNA from 1 species
AGAACGAACGCUGGCGGCAUGCCUAAUACAUGCAAGUCGAACGAAGGCUUCGGCCUUAGUGGCGCACGGGUGCGUAACGCGUGGGAAUCUGCCCCUUGGUUCGGAAUAACAGUUGGAAACGACUGCUAAUACCGGAUGAUGACGAAAGUCCAAAGAUUUAUCGCCAAGGGAUGAGCCCGCGUAGGAUUAGCUAGUUGGUGAGGUAAAGGCUCACCAAGGCGACGAUCCUUAGCUGGUCUGAGAGGAUGAUCAGCCACACUGGGACUGAGACACGGCCCAGACUCCUACGGGAGGCAGCAGUAGGGAAUAUUGGACAAUGGGCGAAAGCCUGAUCCAGCAAUGCCGCGUGAGUGAUGAAGGCCUUAAGGGUUGUAGAGCUCUUUUACCCGAGAUGAUAAUGACAGUAUCGGAGAAUAAGCCCCGGCUAACUCCGUGCCCAAGCAAGCCGC